UAUUUAAUUAUUUAUUUAUUUCCCUUUAUAUUUCCUCACUCCACCAAGAAAAGGAAAAAUGCAAAUCAGUUUGCUCUGGGCGGGGAUUCUGAACAUAGGAGUCCUGCCUGACACCAGCUCCCAGCACGGCUGAAGUGAAGCCAUGUCACCGUUGAGCUUCGGCUUAUUCUGCCACUGAUAAGAAAAUAAACAUUAAUUUACCGAAUUAGCAGCGUCCUUUCAGUGUCUGAUGGCAGAAUCAGCCGAAGCUCCACGGUGACACGGCUUCACUUCAGCUGUGGUCGGAGCUGGCGUCAGGAAAGAAGCCUGUGUGCGGGUACGACUCCCCACCCUGAAAAGGAAGCCCCGCCCAGAGCAAACUGAUUUACAUUUUUCUAUUUCAUGGUGUCAGGCCAUUAUGAAAUAACCACCAAGAAAUAAAAUGCAAAUCAGUUUGCUUUCACUUGGUGGACUGAGCUGUCAAUCAAAUCACAGGCAUAUGAAGAGUAGAUACGACACGCCCCUCUGAGCGGCGUCCCGACGGAGACGCUAAGCUAGUGGGGGCAAAGUUUCAGUGUUUUCCAUUGAUGUGUACGGCACGAAAAUUAAAAGAAGAAGAAUGCCGGCUCAUUGUGCGGCAUACAGUUGCACCCUACAUCGGACGAUCAAGACAAGGAAACUUGGAAUAACUUUCCACAGGUUUCCCAAAGACUAUGGGUUGAGGAAGAAGUGGAAGCAGCUCUGAGGAGAGAGGGGUUUGCUGCAACUAUAUAACAGCCUAGAGAGAGAGAUAAAUAAAUAAUAAUUAUUAUUAAUAAUAAUUCUGUUUAUUGUAAUUGUGGUUGUCUUUAUGUUGCAUUUAUUGAGAUAAUUUGUCCGUGUUCCUUAUUACUGUAGCAUUGCUGUAACUACCUAUAAUUAUAAAUUUCUAUUCACAUUUUCACUGUGACUUUUAUAUACGGCAAAUCGUGAUCCAUGCAGGAGUGGAUGGAUUUAGCAGGCUCAUAGUUUACAUAGCAGCAGCUACAAACAACAAAUCCACCACUGUUCAGGUCAGCUGUUGCUCAGUAUGGCUUACCAUCUCGUAUGUUGUGUGAGAGUCCAAAUAAUGCUACCAAAACACAUAAAAUGUUAAAACAGAUAUGUGUAGUUGUUUUGACAAUUGUUCUGAUGUGAUGUAAGCUUGUGAGGCUAAUACAUGCUUCAGAAGAAGGUUCACAACAGUUCUUGUUUUUGCUGCUGUCCGGCUCAAAUUGUUGUGACAUUUAACAUGUAACAGAAAUGUGGCGGCCUGUGAGUUGUCGCAAGAAGACAGUUUAAAGGUGAGAGUUGAGAGAGUGAAUUAAUGAAAUAGCUUAUUUUUAUGUGAAAGAUUCAAAAACGAUGGUUCAGGUUUGUGCAUUUCUGCGACAACAAAAUGUUUCCACACUUGUGGAAGACUGUCUUGGAGAACAGUUGUAAUAUAAAUGUUUGGAAGUUCAAGAAAAUAAUUGUCAGUUCUAUUAAAAAACCUUUUUAUUGGCACAUUGUUCUAAUGCUUUUAAAAGCUGUCAAACUAUUCAGCAUGCAAUAAAAGCAGUUUUAUAUCCCUUUGCUGUGUCUUUGUACAUUGUUGUUUUCAAAGGCAUUUAUUUGAAAUUCACAACUGGUCAUAAAAUUAUGCAACAAAAAUUUGCAGCAUUCUUUUGAGUCUUGUUCGUUUCAUUCUGAUUCUGUUAAGGUGAGUUGUGAUAUGUCUAGGUUUGUUGAAAAAUGUCCUUAAGAAUAUACACUGUAUCCAUAUGUAUGCCCGUAGUGCAGCAGAAAAAGGGACGGCCGGAUCAGGCAAUGAUGUAACUUCAGCCUGUGUAAGCUGCCGGGGUAGUUGUGCAUCAGGUACAGUGACGCCUUCUGGGUAUGGGGUGUGAGGUCCUGUCCAGUCUAUCCUAUAAUCAGCAGCAACCUGAAAGGAAAGCAUAAUUUGGAAGCAAGCUCUUAUAUUAAGAAAUGCACACUCCUCAAAAAAAAAAAAAAAAAGUAAA